AUCCAACUGACGAAUCCAAAAUAGGACUAAGCAUGCGUCCUGGAU
rfam:Schistosoma margrebowiei strain Zambia genome assembly, scaffold: SMRZ_contig0008743